rnacentral:rRNA from 1 species
ACCAACAGGGAUUGCCUCAGUAACGGCGAGUGAAGCGGCAAUAGCUCAAAUUUGAAAUCUGCUCUUUGAGCCGAAUUGUAAUUUGUAGAGGAUGCUUCGGCUUACGUCUCGGUCUAAGUUCCUUGGAACAGGACGUCACAGAGGGUGAGAAUCCCGUUUGUGGCCGCGACUUCCGCCAUGUGAAGCUCCUUCGACGAGUCGAGUUGUUUGGGAAUGCAGCUCUAAAUGGGAGGUAUAUUUCUUCUAAAGCUAAAUACCGGCCAGAGACCGAUAGCGCACAAGUAGAGUGAUCGAAAGAUGAAAAGCACUUUGGAAAGAGAGUUAAAAAGUACGUGAAAUUGUUGAAAGGGAAGCGCUUGCGACCAGACUUGCCCGCGGAUGCUCAACCGGUCCUUCGGCCGGUGCACUCUUCCGCGGUCAGGCCAGCAUCAGUUCGAGUAGUUAGAUAAAGGCUUAGGGAAUGUGGCUCUCUUCGGGGAGUGUUAUAGCCCUUUGUGCAAUAUAACUCACUUGGACUGAGGCCCGCGCUUCGGCUAGGAUGCUGGCGUAAUGGUCGUAAGCGGCCCGUCUUGAAACACGGACCAAGGAGUCUAACAUCUAUGCGAGUGUUUGGGUGUCAAACCCGUGCGCGAAAUGAAAGUGAACGGAGGUGGGAACCUUAGGGUGCACCAUCGACCGAUCCUGAUGUCUUCGGAUGGAUUUGAGUAAGAGCAUAGCUGUUGGGACCCGAAAGAUGGUGAACUAUGCCUGAAUAGGGUGAAGCCAGAGGAAACUCUGGUGGAGGCUCGCAGCGGUUCUGACGUGCAAAUCGAUCGUCAAAUUUGGGUAUAGGG